GACGAACGCUGGCGGCGUGCUUAACACAUGCAAGUCGUACGGUAAGGCCCUUUCGGGGGUCCACGAGUGGCGAACGGGUGAGUAACACGUGAGUAACCUGCCCACAACUUUGGGAUAACGCUAGGAAACUGGUGCUAAUACUGGAUAUGUGCUCCUCCUGCAUGGUGGGGGUUGGAAAGCUCCGGCGGUUGUGGAUGGACUCGCGGCCUAUCAGCUUGUUGGUGGGGUAGUGGCCUACCAAGGCGGCGACGGGGAGCCGGCCUGAGAGGGUGACCGGCCACAUUGGGCCUGAGAUACGGCCCAGACUCCGACGGGAGGCAGCAGUGGGGAAUAUUGCACAAUGGGCGCAAGCCUGAUGCAGCAACGCCGCGUGCGGGAUGACGGCCUUCGGGUUGUAAACCGCUUUCAGCAGGGACGAAGCUUUUUGUGACGGUACCUGCAGAAGAAGCACCGGCUAACUACGUG
rnacentral:rRNA from 1 species